rnacentral:rRNA from 2 species
UUAAACUGAAGAGUUUGAUCAUGGCUCAGAUUGAACGCUGGCGGCAGGCCUAACACAUGCAAGUCGAGCGGUAACAGGGGUAGCUUGCUACCCGCUGACGAGCGGCGGACGGGUGAGUAAUGCAUAGGAAUCUGCCCGAUAGUGGGGGAUAACCUGGGGAAACCCAGGCUAAUACCGCAUACGUCCUACGGGAGAAAGGGGGCUUCGGCUCCCGCUAUUGGAUGAGCCUAUGUCGGAUUAGCUAGUUGGUGAGGUAAUGGCUUACCAAGGCAACGAUCCGUAGCUGGUCUGAGAGGAUGAUCAGCCACAUCGGGACUGAGACACGGCCCGAACUCCUACGGGAGGCAGCAGUGGGGAAUAUUGGACAAUGGGGGCAACCCUGAUCCAGCCAUGCCGCGUGUGUGAAGAAGGCCCUCGGGUUGUAAAGCACUUUCAGCGAGGAAGAACGCCUAUCGGUUAAUACCCGGUAGGAAAGACAUCACUCGCAGAAGAAGCACCGGCUAACUCCGUGCCAGCAGCCGCGGUAAUACGGAGGGUGCAAGCGUUAAUCGGAAUUACUGGGCGUAAAGCGCGCGUAGGUGGCU